ACGCUCGACACCUACUGGAGGCAGCAGUGGGGAAUAUUGCACAAUGGGGGAAACCCUGAUGCAGCGACGCCGCGUGGAGGAAGAAGGUCUUCGGAUUGUAAACUCCUGUUGUUGGGAAAAAGAGGAUGGUACCCAACAAGGAAGUGACGGCUAACUACGCGCCAACAGCCGCGGUAAUCUGAGCGGGCUGGCAAGGC
rnacentral:rRNA from 1 species